CACGGUCUACAGGAUCACUUGAAAAAUCACAGGCAGUUGUGUUGAAGAAGUCUGGAAACAAAUUUCAAAGGAUAGUGAGUCCCCAGAAGCAGGGUUGAAGACCUCUGCAUUAAAUAGGUUUUCUAGGAUUUAUAUUUCGGCAAUAUUCAUUGAUAUAUACGAUCAACAUUGCAACAGUUUUGACAAAUAAGGUUUACUUGGAUUUUCAUAACCCUUACCACAUGGAAAUAUAACAUCGUAAAUAUGAAUGUUCUUUUUAAACUGUUUGGCCCAGGUAACAGACUGUUUGUGUUGUUUUUCUCUUUAACUCUGGCAAGACAUUUCUCAUUGAAAACUGGAAAACAUCUGUGAUUAUUAAACAUGGAGUAGAAUCAGAUGCCUCCCCACAUUCAAACAAACUGAAACAGGAUUAAAUGACUUAAAACCCACAUGUUCUGAGAAAGCUUUGAAAAAUUAUUCUCAAGCAAGCAUUUAAUUACGGUCAUGGUUGUAGAGGGACAGAUAUCUAUUUCAUUACAACUUUAGGAAACAUGAUUAUUAACUUACUGCACAGUGAGGGAGCCAUUUGCCAAAGCCAAUCAAUCAGCUCAGCAUUUGGAGCCACAUAAUGACUGCUAGAGGUUUGACAUUUGCGAUCAAUUAAUUUUGAAAAGAACUCAUACAUUCAAAAUAUUUGCAUCACACACAGAUUGUGUAUGAUGAGGGUUACUUGUCCCACUUUAAAACUUAUGUUAACUGCGUCACAUGCUUCAAAGAAUUGGCAUUGUUUAAAAUUAGUAUCAUGUUUAGUCAAAGUCCUGUUAGCGGAGAGUAUCAAUAGCAUGAUUUUCUGUUUCUAUUUGGAGUGCUAUUUAUACGCAGAAAUUACCACUGGCGUGCAUAUACGCAAUUUUCGGCGUGCUAUGAUAAACAAUUAGUUGGCGUUCAUAUGAUACGCACUUUUGGUACAUAAAAUACGCCACUACACCACACCAUUAACCCUACCCAUUGCGUAACAAAAAGUAAUUUCGGCGUAUAAAUAGCAUGCCAAAUACAAGUAGGAGAUCGUGUUGGUUUGCGAGCUAACCGGAAGCUUUUGCAGCAGGGAUAAGUUCGUUUUCUUUGUUCAAUAAAGGCCCCCUGCCUGAAUCUGUUUAGCUAAACAGGAAACAACUGUAGUAAUUUUAGAUGUGAAGAGGAAAGCCAUAAAGUUUUAUGACGCGUUAGAGCAAUAAAGUUUUACAAGUCUGUAGGCUACUGUAAAUGAUUGAAACAAAAGUGCAUGGAGCCCGAAUGAACUCGCAUUACAGCAGAUGUCUCCUCUUGAAAACGGCUUUGUAGUUUUGGACAGAAAACACCUCAGACAAGCGAUCGCCAUGUACAAAUUACACCCAAAAACUGACACAAGGAUAUUUAUGAGGACAUAAGAACUCUUAAUUCUUUCACAGUUUCAGCAUUAUUAUUUAUCAUUGUUAAGCUAUAGAAGACCAAAAUUAAAAGGUUACUUUUUACGCGCGUUUUAAAAAAAAAUUACAAAAAUACACAUUCAUACACCCGCCCACCCAUCUAUCCACCCAUCCAUCAAAUUAUUUCCCAAACCACUUGUCUUGAAACGGGCUAUAGGGUCGGCCGGACACCCUGGUCAGAUGGCCAGUCCAUUGCAGUAUUUAUUUAUUUAUUUUUUUUGUCAUCGUUCAAAAAGUCAUAAGGUGUUCUACUUGGACUGGGCCUCUCCUUAUCAAUCUUAGAGAUACAAUCAAUUUUGAUUUUCAAACUAUGGGCACUGCCCAACAAAUGUUUUUUUAAUAAUAAAGUAAAAGAAGUCAUGAAGUUAAACACACACUGUAGCUCUGUCGCACUCACGUAAAUGUAAAACAGUGCAAUAUAGUCUAACACAAAGGGUUCAUUUGUGAUUAACAUGCCGCGCAGAGGCACUAUAACAGAAGGUUGUUUUUGCUGGAGUUGUACGCGGUAGGUUGUUGGCGGGAAUAUGGCUGUUUUUGUGACUAAAAUCACAAUUGAAGGUUAUUUUCCUUGAUGCUGUCAUCGCUAUUAAUUAGAUCGGUUAAUGUAAAUUAAUUGUAUGCUGUAGCCAAAACCUAUAUGCCCAAACAUGCUGUGAACUGUGAUCGACCAACUUAACAUUUUCUCUUAGUAGCAUGAAAAAAACAAAAAACAAAACAAAAACAUUAAUAUAUUCAAAUUGUGAUUAAAUAUUAACUGUCAGAAAACAUUUUUACACAAUAUUUUUUAAGACAGAUAACCUACUGUGCUGGAGAUCCUUGGGAAUUUUCUGAGAGAAAUGUAGCCUAAAUGUAAACGCAUAAUGGGCGUUUUAGUUCCUUAAAAUGCGUAAAGAAGUGUGCUAUGCUGUUAUGUUAUUUAAUGACACAGCAAAUUUGCUAGACGCAUCUUAGCCUACCAGACUCAUUCCACUUUAACGAACAAACUACACAUACAAUAUUUUAUAUAGCCUACAUGUAAAUAUUAUAAUAUUUUUUUAAAUUCUAAUGAAAGCCAGUGUGAAAACAAAGUUAUUAGGAAACAUUAGGAAUUCCCUGCUAAAUAAACAAACAGUUCCAGCAUCACUAACAACAUCGCAAGAACAUGAGUUUUUUUAUUAUUUAUUUAUUUUUUGCCAUUUAUCGUCGUUUUCGGAAAUGUGCUUUUGCUUUUCUUCCAACUAAACCUUAAAAUAGCCCCUUAACUUCUAACUUGAAAUCUUUCUUCUUCCAUUCUGAAACCAAAUUUGACACAGGGCAUGGACGAUAUCUUCGACGCGUGAGAAAUCGGUUGAAAUGAAAUUAUUUCUCCAGUCCCUGGGUUAGGUUAAAUCACUCUGGCUAAAAGUGUUUUAAAAUAUUACUAUAAUAUAUUGAUGUAUGCAUAUUUAUAAAACAAUGAGUUGUGUCUUUAAAGCAGAUAUCAUUGUAUGCUGUUCCUGUUUUGAAAAGUUUAAUUAUUUAAUACCGUCAUAAAUUUAGUCAGCGUUAGCGGACAGUUUUAUGAACUGAUGACUGUUAUAAAAUUUACUACCGCUAGUUUUACUGUUUCCGAAUAAGGUCUAUAAAACUUAAGAAAACAAUGAAUGAAAGAGACUGAAAGACAAAAUGACAACGAACACAUGUAGCCUAGCAGAGAAGGUGAAAAAGCAACACCUCAGUUAAAUACGAAGCAACCUUACCGUGUCUUAUGUGAAGUUUAGCCAUCCAAGGCUCGUUUCAUUUUAUCAGAUUUGGCAUACAACUAUUUCCCAGAGGCAGGACAGGUUUGUUCUCAGCAGCGGUUUUUCUCUCUCUCCCACCAAUUUUCGGAUGUUUAUGGUUUAUGAUGCUAAAAUUAUUCGGAAUUAGAUGGCCACGGAAUUCACAGAAGACCUGUGCUGAUAUUCAAGCAAACUGGGCCAAUUAUAGGAUGCAAUGUGAGCCUCGAGCACGAGGACGUAUAUAGCGCGUUGUUAUGAACAGCGAAAGCAUGCGCAUAAAGAAUACAGAAGAUUACUUGAACAACGAAUGGGCCACUAAAGAAUUUAUCACAGGCCUACAUGGCCUACUAAAAUGAAUUACUGCUGUAAAGUUUUCCAUCAAUCGUAGGCUAUAAGAGUGUAUCAUUCUUAUUUAGCUUAGUAUGAUUUUGUUUGAUAUGCUUUGAGGUUUUCAGUCAUGAAACAGUUUGAAUCAGGAGCUUAUUAAUAGAGAAGCGCAAAAGAUGGUAUGGUUGGGGAGUUUAGGUCAUGGUGAAGAAACGCCGGACUGAAGGCCGACAGCGUCAUCUGCUGUUAAGUAUGCAAUUGACAAGCGAUAAUUCGGCAUCGCCUUUGGAAACUUUCCACUAAUUGUUUUUUCCUUCACCUUCAGAAACAUUAUGAUGAGAAAUGGAAAAGACACGCGAAACUUAUUGAAAACAUGUAACAGUUCCGCUGCUGUUAAUCCCUCACUUCAUAACUUCAAAAACUGUUUCUUAAGUAUUUAAAUUCUUCUUAGUUACUAUUUAAAGAGUUCUCAGAAAGCAGCAUAGCGUUGGUCAGGCCAAAGCCACACAAAGACAAUAUAAAAUAGUCUACUGCGUCUUAAUUUCGCUGUUGGCAGGGGUUUAUUUUAUUGAAUACAUUCAUAGAUAUCAUUAUAAGGUAGUAAAAUUAUUGUUUUUCUUUUCUGAAUUGUUUGAGUACUUUAGUACGAUUAAUAUAUUGCAGUGAAAGACUUCACAAUAGCCACAGCAAAAACAGUAUAAUAACGGGACGAUGUUGUAUCGUGUUUUAAUGGGAUUGUGUAAGAUAAAACGUAGGCUUAAGUAAAACUAAUUUUAAAUGUUGCAUUAAAGAUUCGCCCUGUCUUAUGAUCAUUCUAUUGCCUUCAAUCAUUCUGAAUGUUGUAAACUAAAGUUCAUUCAUGUAUGCAUUUGUUUUCUUACACCACAACUUUCACCACAGCAUAAAAAUCUCUCCAUUGGGAAGAUUUAACGAUCUAACUCAACCACCAGAAGUUCAUGAGUGCACACAUCACACAUCAGCUGACGCACAGGCAUGAUCACGUUACAUAAUUAAAAAGUUUUAUUUUCUAAAAACAUUGUGAGGAAAAAAAAUCUCAUCAUCCGUAUAGGAGUACAUAGUUCUGAAGCAGUACCUUGUAAUUUAAGGAUUGGUUUAUGUUGGUUUCAUUUUAAAGUUUCGCACACGACUCGACUAAUACUUAACAGGAAAUCAGGUAGUGUCGUUACAUUCAUUACAGCUUUAUUGAAUAU